GGUCAAGCGAACAAGUGCAUGUGGUGGAUGCCUUGGCGAUCACAGGCGAUGAAGGACGCGGUAGCCUGCGAAAAGUUGUGGGGAGCUGGCAACGAGCUUUGAUCCACAAAUGUCCGAAUGGGGAAACCCGGCCCGUAUGGGUCACCCACAACUGAAUCCAUAGGUUGUGUGGGGCGAACGCGGUGAACUGAAACAUCUAAUUAACCGCAGGAAAAGAAAUCAACCGAGAUUCCCAAAGUAGUGGCGAGCGAAAUGGGAUCAGCCGGUACUCUUUAUUUAUCUUAUUAGCUGAACGCUCUGGAAAGUGCGGCCCGAGCAGGUGAUAGCCCUGUAAGCGAAAAUAGGAGGAAAGAACUAGGGGUACGAGAAGUAGGGCGGGACACGUGAAAUCCUGUCUGAAGAUGGGGGGGCCAUCCUCCAAGGCUAAAUACUCGUGAUCGACCGAUAGUGAACCAGUACCGUGAGGGAAAGGCGAAAAGAACCCCGGAGGGAAGUGAA
rnacentral:ncRNA from 2 species